UGGUGCUGUAGGAAGUAUUACAUGG
rnacentral:piRNA from 1 species